GGCCAAAGGAAAUUUCUUUCUGAAGAUUUGCCUGGAGAACCUGGUCUCUGGGGAAGAGGGGAGGAGGGACCCUGAAUGCGGCUCAGCCUUCCCCUGCCUCAGGAGAGGAGGAGAGGAAAGGGAAGUGUUGUGCUGUCUGCUCUCAGGGGACCUGGGAGUAGAGGAGCCUGACCAAAAGGGGAUUUCGCAUGGCCCCCGAAGGCCAGCCAGUGCUGUGCUCCUUCGACCUCUCCUUCCGAAGUAAAAAUUAAUGAUUGUUUAAUUAGCCACCACCUCUUUUCGACAAGAAGUCAAGAUGAUAUACAGCACAUGCCAGGUGUGCCCAGACCAAGCUAACAGAAGUUUUAAACGUGGCUUGAAGAAGACAGGAGGCAGCAAGUAUGUGCUGUGCAGGGGCUGUCGGCGGUAGUAGCUCCGCCGUCACGAUUGGCCAGACUGCCCCUUCCUCUCGGCCAAUCAACGCUGCCCUGUCGCCCCCGUGUUACUGGGUAGAACAAAACAAAAACAGAGUGAGAAGGGCUGGAGACGCUCGGAGGCGGCGGCCGAGGCUGAGGAGCGGGGUCCGGGCCGGAGGACCAG
rnacentral:lncRNA from 1 species